GACGAACGCUGGCGGCGUGCUUAACACAUGCAAGUCGAACGAAGUGGCGAACGGGUGAGUAACGCGUAAUCAACCUGCCCUUCAGAGGGGUACAACAGUUGGAAACGACUGCUAAUACCGCAUACUGAAGGUGGGGAUUGCGUCUGAUUAGCUAGUUGGAGGGGUAACGGCCCACCAAGGCGUUGCUCAGUCGACGGUCUGAGAGGAUGAACGGCCAAAUUGGGACGGCGACACGGACCAGACUAAUACGGGAGGCAGCAGUGGGGAAUCUACCGAAAUGGAGGAAAGUCUGACGGAGAAACGCCGCGUGAGUGAUGACGGACUUCGGGUGGUAAAGCUCUGUUAAUCGGGACGCGGUACCGGAAGAGAAAGCCACGGCUAACUACGUGCCAGCAGCCGCGGUAAUAC
rnacentral:rRNA from 1 species